AUUCUAGUAGCUUAACACAAAG
rnacentral:tRNA from 1 species